GACGAACGCUGGCGGCGUGCCUAAUACAUGCAAGUAGAACGCAGUUGCGAACGGGUGAGUAACGCGUAGGUAACUGCCUCAUAGCGGGGGAUAACUCUUGGAAACGAUAGCUAAUACCGCAUACUGUGAGAUGGACCUGCGUUGUAAUCGGUAGGUGGUGAGGUAAAGGCUCACCAAGGCGACGAUACAUAGCCGACCUUAGAGGGAUGUCGACCCAACUGGGAAUGAGAAACGGCCCAGACUCCGUCCGGAGGGAGCAGGAGGGGAACUUCGGCAAAUGGCGGAAGGCUUACCAAACAACGCCGGGGGGGUGAAGAAGGGUUUCGGGGCGGAAAACUCUGUUGUGAGAGAAGCGGUAACUAACCAGAAAGGGACGGCUAACUACGUGCCAGCAGCCGCGGUAAUUC
rnacentral:rRNA from 1 species